AGACGCGUCCCACUAGGAUCAGAUGUGAAAACACAAGGCUGUCAAAGUUGAAUCCUGUGAAUAAAAACUGUCCAAAUACUGCCAUUGUUCUAAUGACUGCAUUAUUCUGAUUAAUAAUAGGAGAAACAAAUACAUAAAUCUGUGUUCUUAACUUCAAAAUACUAUAUAAUCCCGACUGCAGUACGUAGUUUUCAUUUCAAAAUGAAGCAGUUCGUGUUUUGUUUGAGUAUUUUUAUCUUCAUUAUAUUCUUGGCUAACAGAGAAGUAAUGGCCCAAAGUAAUGAGGGAGAAAUACAAGGAACUCGUCCUAAGGGUAUAAUGCAACAAACUCCUCCAUCGGAACAUCUCCUACAAUCAUCUCCUGUCAAUGUUGUUAUACCAGGUGCUGUUCUGUCAGCUGCUGAUGACGUUGAAAGAAUAAGUAAUGGUAAACGCUAAAUACCACUUCCCAUAUCUAACCAAAGAAGAAGAAAACAACUCGCAGUUGCCUGAAUCUUGUGAUGGUUAAUAAAUAAUUGUUUUGCUGAAUAUGUGUUUGCUUAUUGCUUUAGUCGAUCAGAUCGGAAGAGC
rnacentral:lncRNA from 1 species